UACGAAGGGGGCUAGCGUUGUUCGGAAUCAUUGGGCGUAAAGAGCUCGUAGGCGGUUUGGCAAGUCGGGUGUGAAAACUCCGGGCUCAACUCGGAGACGCCACUCGAUACUGCCAUGACUCGAGUCCGGUAGGGGAGUGCGGAAUUCCUGGUGUAGCGGUGAAAUGCGUAGAGAUCGGGAGGAAGGCCGGUGGCGAAGGCGGCGCUCUGGAACAUUUCUGACGCUGAGGCUCGAAAGCGUGGGGAGCAAACAGG
rnacentral:rRNA from 1 species